rnacentral:tRNA from 1 species
GGUGGGGUAGAGCAGUCUGGGAGCUCGUGAGGCUCAUAAUCUCAAGGUCAUAGGUUCAAAUCCUAUCCCCAUCC